CACAAAGUUAAUUGACGCAUUAUUUGUUUAACAAGCAUCAUCCGCAUGGACACACGUCCUCUGGAAUGGUGGCCGAAGCACGAAGGGGCAUAUGAAUGUUUAGCAGAUCUGGCACGUAAAUACCUUGCAACGGCGGCUACAAAAGUGCCAUCUGAACACCUGUUCUCACUUUCAG